ACAGAUCGUUCAGAGUUUGAUCCUGGCUCAGGAUGAACGCUAGCGGCAGGCUUAACACAUGCAAGUCGAGGGGCAGCAUGAUCAAACUUUCGGGUUAGAUUGAUGGCGACCGGCGCAAGGGUGCGUAACGCGUGAGCAACUUGCCCUUAUCAGGGGAAUAACCGUUGGAAACGACGACUAAUACCCCAUAGCAUCACUUCAAGGCAUCUUUUAGUGAUUAAAGAACUUCGGAUAAGGAUAGGCUCGCGUGACAUUAGCUAGAUGGCGGGGUAACGGCCCACCAUGGCGACGAUGUCUAGGGGUUCUGAGAGGAAGGUCCCCCACACUGGAACUGAGACACGGUCCAG
rnacentral:rRNA from 1 species